AUUAUUAAAGUUCCGAAGCUCCGAAAUAAUUGAUUUUUGGAAGUUUUAAUUGUUUUUAAUAACAAAAACGUUUUUUUUUUGUUUUUGUCAUUAUUGUGGGGCAACAAAGGUGGCUGAAUUCAGUUCUACAAAAGAUGGCGUAGGAAAAUUUAAAUUAUAUAAUAAUAUUAUAUUAAAUUUUCUACUUUGGUGUUCUAAGCAUUUUCCUAUAAAUAGGGUGCUUAGGUUAGAAUUGAAAAUCACACCAGAAACUGAAGUUUUCUCUCUCUAUAUUAUCGAGCG
rnacentral:lncRNA from 1 species